rnacentral:rRNA from 1 species
CCUACGGGAGGCAGCAGUAAGGAAUAUUGGUCAAUGGACGCAAGUCUGAACCAGCCAUGCCGCGUGCAGGAUGACGGCCCUCUGGGUUGUAAACUGCUUUUAUAGGGGACGAAAAAAGGGCUUUCUAGCUCGUCUGACGGUACCCUAGGAAUAAGCACCGGCUAACUCCGUGCCAGCAGCCGCGGUAAUACGGAGGGUGCAAGCGUUAUCCGGAUUUACUGGGUUUAAAGGGUGCGUAGGUGGGUCGGUAAGUCAGCGGUGAAAUCUUCGAGCUUAACUCGGAAACUGCCAUUGAUACUAUCGAUCUUGAAUCAUCUGGAGGUAAGCGGAAUAUGUCAUGUAGCGGUGAAAUGCUUAGAUAUGACAUAGAACACCAAUUGCGAAGGCAGCUUACUACGGAUGCAUUGACACUGAGGCACGAAAGCGUGGGGAUCAAACAGGAUUAGAUACCCUGGUAGUCCACGCCCUAAACGAUGGAUACUCGACAUUUGAGAUAUACUUUAAGUGUCUGAGCGAAAGCAUUAAGUAUCCCACCUGGAAGUACGAGCGNGAGAUAGAAGUACAAGAGUAGUAGAGNGAGAGAGCGACGACGACGACGAGGAGGGAGGAG